CAGUCGCCGCGGGAACACGGAGGGGGCUAGCGUUGUUCGGAAUUACUGGGCGUAAAGCGCACGUAGGCGGCUUGGUAAGUUAGAGGUGAAAGCCCGGAGCUCAACUCCGGAAUUGCCUUUAAGACUGCCGAGCUAGCAGGUGAGAGAGGUAAGUGGAAUUCCGAGUGUAGAGGUGAAAUUCGUAGAUAUUCGGAAGAACACCAGUGGCGAAGGCGGCUUACUGGCUCAUACUGGACGCUGAGGUGCGAAAGCGUGGGGAGCAAACAGGAUUAGAUACCCCAGUAGUCCCUGUCUCUUAUAC
rnacentral:rRNA from 1 species